UACGAAGGGGGCUAGCGUUGCUCGGAAUCACUGGGUGUAAAGCGCACGUAGGCGGCUUUUUAAGUCAGGGGUGAAAUCCUGGAGCUCAACUCCAGAACUGCCUUUGAUACUGAGAAGCUUGAGUCUGGGAGAGGUGAGUGGAACUGCGAGUGUAGAGGUGAAAUUCGUAGAUAUUCGCAAGAACACCAGUGGCGAAGGCGGCUCACUGGCCCGGUACUGACGCUGAGGUGCGAAAGCUAGGGGAGCAAACAGG
rnacentral:rRNA from 1 species